GCGGAGAACUCCCCGGUCGUGGUAGUAGUCGUUGAGACAAAGAAAAGAAAACUGUAGCCACGGUACAAGCAUUAUUCACCCACAGCGCCCGGCUUCUCUUUCUGGGCUCUUUGCCAGCGUGCCGAGGCACAGGUAGGGAGAUGGAGGUGGACAGGCUCCGAGUGAACUGCAGGGGAAGGAAGCAUUUCCGCGUCGGUCCAGGAGCUCCGAGGCCUGGCCCUCCCGCGGACCCUGUGAUGGAGCCCGUGAAUUCCAAAGGCAUAAGAUGAGGAGCGGCGUUAACCCAACAGAACUGAAGUCAGCGGACUAUAAAUAUUUUCCCUUCUCUACCUUUGGCUCGCUGUGGUGACCUCGGAUACCCUCCGGAGUCUCAUUCUCAACAUUUGGAAAACAUAAAUAAUUGUCCCUACCUCUUUUCUUCCAUUUCUCCUCAUUCUUUGGGUAAUACCGUUAAAGUAUUCAGUGUCCUGUGUGUGAAGAAAGAGUCUAGGUCCCUUGGUAACAACCAAACGUGACUUUGAUUUCUUUGCCAGUCUGUGCAGCUUGCAGGAUCCUAGUACCCCAACCAGGGAUUGAACCUGGAAGCGUGGUGGAAGUGUGGAGCCCUAACCACUGGACCGCCAGGGAAUCCCAAGACCCAGUUUUAGAGAGUGGCUUGGACUAUGUUGAAAAGGUAACUUGCUCUUUUCCCAUUUCCAUUUUCAUUUCUCUUUGUUUCAAAGGAGUUGUUUCCUAUGAUUAAAAGAUGGUCUUGCUACAAAGUAGUCAACACUGGUCCUGCCUAGUCCAUGGGCCCUGUAGACCUCUCCCUACUAUCAGUGCACCCUUUACUGUGAGCUCAGUCCUCUCCCGGCCCUGUGGCAGGAAGACUUCAGAGCACCAGUCCCAAGCCCAAGACUCAGCCUCUUGCUUCUUCUGCUGCUUACUUGGGGAGUCUUAAUCUUGGCUCCCUUCUAAGCACUGACUCACAGUCCUUUUCUUGCUCUUGAAGCUCUGGCCUUUUAACCUGUGUGGAACUUGAUUUUCUCUGCCUGCUGUCUGGACUCUGCUCUCUGGAGUCUGCCCCAGCCCUGCAACACAGACUCAGCUGUGCACUGAUAGACACCCCUGGUGGCAAUGCUUGUUUGCCUUCAGCUGUUUCCCUAGAUUCUCUGAGUCCGUAUUAUAUCCAUCUAUCAGGCCUCCUUUCCCCCAUUGCCUCAAGUUGGACAUCCUGAUGCCUGCUGCUCUUCUGGACUACCGCCUGUUGUUUGCUCACUGCUCUCUGGCUAUCAGGUAUUGCCUAGAGGGCUGGAGUACCUCCCACUCAACACCUGGCGCUGGGGCCUCCCCACCCCAGCUCCACUCAGCCCACAGUAAAUCUGUCCUUCCCCAUCCUGUAGCAGUUCACCUCCCUGCCUUUUUCUUCCUGAGAGCAGUGGGUUUAUAACCUAUUACAGUUUAUUUUUUAACCAGAUAUAAAUAAAGAUAGAAUAUAUAUACUAAAGAUAUAUAUAUUUAUAUAUAUAUCUAAAUAUAGAAUAUAUAUGUUGUUUUUUGUUUUUGUGUGGUUAAAAAAACAUAAUUAAAUAAAGAUACAACAUAUAUAUGGUUGGUUUUUGUCUUUGGUUAAAAAAUAAAGUGUAAUAGGUAUUUGUAUAUAUGUGUAUGUGUAUAUAUGUAUAUUUAUAUUAUACAUAUGUACAUGUAUAACCCAUAUCUGACUCUACUUACUACUCCUAAACACUGAUUCUACUCAGGAAUUCCUUUGGCACUAGUAGCCCAGAAAUCCCAGCAUCUGGAGCUGAGUAUGAUUACCUUGUGAAUACCCAGUCAAAGACAGACAAGGUGUCAUGAUAAAGAUUCAAGCUGAGAUAACUGGGGAGAUAACAAUCCUGGAUUAGGAAUGCUGUGUCAUUAACAGCCAACUGUACGUGUUCUACGUGGUUAUCCAGAUGUAUUCCUAGGUGUGGUGUGGUGCCACCAGUGUGCACAGUUUAUCUACCACAUGUGUUGGGGUACCUAUCCCUGUGCUGAACACAAAAUUCUAGAGGACAGAAACUGUCUUUUGCUCAUUCCAUUGUAUCCCUAGGAUCUAGCAUGCUGCCUGGCACACCAGUAGGUGUUCAAUAAAUACUUAAUAAAUGACUAAGUAUACUGGGCAUUGUAGUUGAUUCCUGUCCCCUAAAAGCUUAAAAUCUAGUAAAAAUAAGAUGUGUAUAUAAUUCCUUUAUUUGAUGUUUGUUUCUGAGUCUGAUGUUUGAUGUUUGUUUGAUGUUUGUUUCUGAGUCUGUUUUCUGACAUUUGUUUCUGAUUUAUUGCCCUUAAGAGAGUUGCUAAUUCAUUUUGUUCUCUAUUGAUAGUUGACCCUCACUCAUUUCUUCUAUUUUUAUCAACAAAGGCAGAGUUGGUUUUUUGGCUUUUGCUUUUAGCAUUUUUGAAGCUGAAUGUUAAAGCAUUUACCUUGAUGGAAUGAGAGUCUAAGAAAUGCUACAAUGAUAGCACUGAAUUAUCACUAUUGCUUUUUUUCCUCUUGGCCACGCCACACAGCAUUAGACCUGGGAUCGAACUUGGGACCACAGCAGCGAAAGCCCAGAAUCCUUACCACUAGACCACCAGGGAACCCCCUAUCACUGACUUUAAAUUUACCAACCCUUCAACAAAUAAUGCUUGAGCUCUGGAGUUUUGUGUGCUCUUUAAAAAACAACUUUCUCAGUUCUCUCAUGGGGAAACAUAAUCAAAUAUCCAAUCAGUAAUCAAUAGCUAUCAGUGUUUCUUUUAAAAUGUAGGUUUUACAUUUGGUUUGCUACCCACCUUAAAAUCUGUCUUCCUCGCUGUAUACCUGAAUUAUACCAGCUAUCCUAAUUGGUCAUUCCUUCUUUCAACUGAUCUUGCUCAGUUUUUCCAUAUUUCACUUAAUGAAACACCACUCUCAUCAAAAUCUGAGAACCACUGCUACAUGACAGUGUUCUGUUAGACUGGUGUCUCUGCUUCCCACGGAAUGGGCCACAUUCAUUCUCCGUUUAAUACCAUUCUCCUGCCUGCAAUGCCCAGUAACCUCUUGCAGGAAGUCAUCUUUCACAUCUCCAUCCUAAACCUCUUGGGCUUUUCUUUCUAUGGUCUAUAUCACUGGCUUUUUUGCAUAGUUUAGCUAUUCCUAUGUCUUUCUCCAAAAUAUGAUUCAUACCUUUAUUCACUCACAUAUGAAUAGGGGCUUUCUAGCCUUCCAGCCUGGGGAAGGACUUGUGUGGGGGGUAUCAAAAUACACAAGGUAUCAAAAUAGCAGCCCCAGGCUGGAGCCUAUUUGUAAUAGUCAAAAUUCUUGUCUCUUUGUUUUCAAGGUCUAAUUGGAGGUGGAGGGGUGGUUACAAACCUCUCAGUGCAUCUGCUGUGCUGCUCUUUCCCUCAAGGCCAAGUACGGUACUCCUGUUCCUCCUUCCUUUCUACGCUCCCCUGCCCUGGUUGUUAGCACAGUUGCUGUAGUCACUGCACUGAGCACCUCUGGCGGCUACAUUGCAGGACUCCAAGGGGUGCCAUCCCAGUUUUUGUGAAAGAUGCUCCCUGGAGUCUUGCAGUGCACAACCUGCGCCUGCUCCACUGAACACCAUGAAAGAACCACUCCAGUUGCAGGCAGGGAGCCUAGACCCUGGUUUGCUUAAAGAACCAGCUUUUUUUUUAUUCCUAACAUUAUAUAUCUAUAUGUAACAUUAGAUAAUCCAUAGAUAUGAAUAUAACACUAUAUUUUAUUAUAUAACAUUAUAUACCUUUCAGGGAGUUGGAGGGAAAUGAAAGUGGCAAGAUGCAUAUUUGUUAGAAUUAAGUCAGUUAGAAUCUCAUAUAAGAUGUGUAAUUAAUCAAAUUUUUCAUUUAUUUGAUCAAUGUAAAUGCUCAAUAACAAAACUUAUUCUAUUGUUAUACAUGCAAUAAUGCAUCAUGUUAAUCAAACUUUAUAUAUAUACCAUAUUUCAUCAAAACUAAGAUAUCAUUGAUUAUAAGCAUUGUUAUUUUAUGUACAACUAGGAAAGAAAAGCACUGCCAAUUAAACUAUGGUACAUCAUAAACUGUAAGACAUCCUAAUUUCAGAGAUGAUAAAAUGUCAAAAAAUGUGUGUCUAAGAAUCGAUGAAAUACAGUGUGUUUUAAUGCAUCUAAAAGGCAAGACAACAUACAGUCCAGUAGUUUGAAACGUUAAGUUUCUGGGUUUUUGACAUAUAACUUGUUUGUUAUGCACGAUCCUUGAACAGCCACAUUAUGAAUGUUAACCACAAGAGCAGAAACAGUACAGUUCAACUGCAUAUAAACACGUAAAACAAAAGUGAAUAACUUAUGAUUCAGUCACAUAAAGUUUAGAAGAAACACUAGCAUCAAGUCACAUGCUUGGAUUACGUUACAAAUAAAAAAUUAACUUUUUGACAGCUGCUUAUACUGAAAAUAUGCAAUGACAAGAAAAAUGGACAUGUUUUUAUCUUCAGAAAAGUCAAACUAAACAAUCAGAAAAAUCUCAGCAGUGCUGUAGAAUGACUUUACAUUUAUCCCGGAAGCUGAACAAUAGCCCUUGUUGCUUAUGGGGCCAUCAGGAAAAGCCAGCUGUGGAUUUCUUUCUAGUACAAUUAAUUGCUUCCGCUGUAUAUAAAAUUGAAAGAAUUGGGUGCUUUAGUGCGGAAAAAGGAUAUCCUGCUACACUGCUAUUUCCUCACAAAAGCUAUUAUUGAGCCUUUUGCCAUUAAUUCACAUGCAUUGGAUUAUCCUGUGAUGAAAGACCAAGUGGCUUUUCAUUUUUAUAGUCUCUUAUCUCCUAUUUAUUUGGCACCUCUCUGGAGAUACCUGCUCUUCUCCCAAGACUGGUUAAUUGCUAGCAUGUCAGAAGGUAGCUAAUGACGGACUUCUUCUUCCAAGACUUAUUGCAAGCCCAUCUCUAUACUGUUUCUUGGAGUGACCUUUCUCAUUGCUGAGAAAUAUUCUGAGUUCCAUUAUUAUUUGAAAUGAAGGGGUGGCAUUUUCAGUGCCAGCUUUCAAUCCCUGCCCACCAUUCGAGACCAGCAAGUGACUCUUUUAUAAAUCCUCUGUAUAGACCUGUACUGUCCAGUAUGAAAUAGCCACUUGCCAUGUGUGGCUGUGUGCAUUUUAAAUUAGUUAAAAAGAAAUUAAAAUUUAAAAUUCAGUUUCUCAGUCUUGGCUUGUUAAGUGCUCAAUAGCCACAUGAGGUUAGUGACUACCAUACUGGAAGAGUGCAGAUAUAGAACAUGUCCAUUUUCACAGCAAGUUCUACUGGACAGUGUUGCUAUAAACCGUGACCUGCUCUGCUCAGGCCUGGUGAACAGUAUCUGAGCCCAUCUCCUGAGUUGAUGUUUCUGUGCUCACCAUUCAAAACAAAUGGUAGAAAGGCUACUUUCAGGAUCAUUUCUAUAGUUUGUUACUUGAGAAGUUUCUCUGAACAUGUAGAGUACCAGAAAUGGGGGGUUGCUGUUCAACAAGGGUAAAGUUAUAGUUAUGUAAGACAUAUUCUUAUCACAAUAAAAUAAAUACAUAUGUGUAUUUCUCA